rfam:Gossypium arboreum cultivar AKA8401 contig_20316_1, whole genome shotgun sequence.
UUUAUGGAGUUUUUAAACUCCACUAGAAUAUACCAAAUAAUUUUA